GAUGAACGCUAGCGGCAGGCUUAAUACAUGCAAGUCGAGGGGCAGCACGGUUAGCAAUAACUGGUGGCGACCGGCGCACGGGUGCGUAACACGUAUACAAUCUACCUUAAACAGGGGGAUAGCCUUUCGAAAGAGAGAUUAAUACCCCGUAAUAAAUUGAACGGCAUCGUUUGAUUUUGAAAGCUCCGGCGGUUUGAGAUGAGUAUGCGUCUGAUUAGCUAGUUGGUGAGGUAACGGCUCACCAAGGCGACGAUCAGUAGGGGAUCUGAGAGGACUAACCCCCACACCGGUACUGAGACACGGACCAGACUCCUACGGGAGGCAGCAGUAAGGAAUAUUGGUCAAUAGGAGGCGAACUCUGAACCAGCCACUGCCGCGUGCAGGAUGACGGCCCUACUGGGUUGGUAAACUAGCUUUUAUUAC
rnacentral:rRNA from 1 species